UGCGGGCGCCGCGGCCUGGGGGCCAGGGAGACCCAGACAUGGGAGGGCGGGAGACACUGGAGGGUCUGGGGCACCGCCUGCCCGGGGGACACGGGGCACACUCCGGGGGAAUCCGCCACCCACAGAACAGUAGGAGGGUGUAAGUACUGCGACCGCUCCUUCAGCAUCUCUUCGAACCUCCAGCGGCACGUCCGGAACAUCCAUAACAAGGAGAAGCCUUUCAAAUGCCACCUGUGCAACCGCUGCUUCGGGCAGCAGACCAACCUGGACCGGCACCUCAAGAAGCACGAGCACGAGAACGCACCAGUGAGCCAGCACCCCGGGGUCCUCACGAACCACCUGGGGACCAGCGCCUCCUCUCCCACCUCUGAGUCGGACAACCACGCACUUUUAGACGAGAAAGAAGACUCUUAUUUCUCAGAAAUCAGAAACUUUAUUGCCAAUAGUGAGAUGAACCAAGCAUCAACGAGAACAGAGAAACGGGCGGAGAUGCAGGACGUGGACGGCAGUGCCCAGUGUCCAGGCCUAGCCAGCGAGAAGCAGGAGGACGUGGAGGAGGAGGACGACGAUGACCUGGAGGAGGACGAUGAGGACAGCCUGGCCGGGAAGUCGCAGGAUGACACCGUGUCCCCCGCACCUGAGCCCCAGGCCGCCUACGAGGAUGAGGAGGACGAGGAGCCACCCACCUCCCUGGCCGUGGGCUUCGACCACACCCGAAGGCAUAUGCAAUGAUGCUGUCCCUUUCCGAAGACACUCCUCUCCACACCCCCUCCCAGGGUUCUCUGGACGCUUGGUUGAACAUCACCGGAGCCACGUCGGAGUCUGGAGCAUUUCACCCCAUUAACCACCUCUGAUGGGCUGGGCAGCCGGGGGCCGGCAGCCAGAGCGAGGGCACCAGCUGCGGAGGACGGAGGUGGGCGGGGCCCCAGAGAACCCUGUCCCUGCGUGUGGUCACUCCUCAGCGUACUCCCCAGCCACCAUGGUUCAUUCCAACUUUUCCAACGGAGACUCAGAUCCCGAAAGUCCUAAAGCAGUUGUAGAGUCUCACCAUCUCCAAGGAUUGGCCUUGAGAACACUGUUCAGUGACAGCCCUGCAGGUGGCCAUCCAAAGACAGCCAACGGAGCUGCCUCGCAGAA
rnacentral:sRNA from 1 species